rnacentral:rRNA from 1 species
UACAGAGGUCCCGAGCGUUGUUCGGAUUCACUGGGCGUAAAGGGUGCGCAGGUGGGCUGUCAAGUUUGAUGUGAAAGCCCCGGGCUUAACCCGGGAAUGGCAUUGAAGACUGGCGGUCUGGAGGAUUGGAGGGGGGACUGGAAUUCUCGGUGUAGCAGUGAAAUGCGUAGAUAUCGAGAGGAACACCAGUGGCGAAGGCGAGUCCCUGGACCUGUACUGACGCUCAUGCACGAAAGCGUGGGGAGCAAACAGG